rnacentral:misc_RNA from 1 species
AACACUGUUAACCUGCGGUACCUGCGGAAGGAUCAUUACCGAGUGUGGUCCCAUAAGGGGCGCCUCCCGUCCUUUGCAGGGCCUUUAGGGGCUUUUUGACUUUGCUUCGGCGGGCUUGCCCCGCCGGAACACCCUCAAGAAAAUCUUUAUGAACCGUUUGUCUGAGUUGCUUGCGAAUAAAAACAAAACUUUUAACAACGGAUCU